rnacentral:rRNA from 1 species
GAUGAACGCUGGCGGCGUGCCUAAUACAUGCAAGUCGAGCGAACAGACGAGGAGCUUGCUCCUCUGACGUUAGCGGCGGACGGGUGAGUAACACGUGGAUAACCUACCUAUAAUACUGGGAUAACUUCGGGAAACCGGAGCUAAUCCCGGAUAAUAUAUUGAACCGCAUGGUUCAAUAGUGAAAGACGGUUUUGCUGUCACUUAUAGAUGGAUCCGCGCCGCAUUAGCUAGUUGGUAAGUUAACGGCUUACCAAGGCGACGAUGCGUAGCCGACCUGAGAGGGUGAUCGGCCACACUGGAACUGAGACACGGUCCAGACUCCUACGGGAGGCAGCAGUAGGGAAUCUUCCGCAAUGGGCGAAAGCCUGACGGAGCAACGCCGCGUGAGUGAUGAAGGUCUUCGGAUCGUAAAACUCUGUUAUUAGGGAAGAACAAAUGUGUAAGUAACUAUGCACGUCUUGACGGUACCUAAUCAGAAAGCCACGGCUAACUACGUG